GCUCACUGCUUUCAUUUUUAACAAGGCCUCUGCAAAAUGAAAGCAGCGAUCUGAUUGGUUGCCAUGGGCAACUCAGCAACUUUUAAUCUGGACAGGUUCUUUUAUGGCCUUCUUGCCGCCGUACUAGAUAUUUGUAGAGGGACGUACACGACUAUGGCUAGGGAAUAAGUAUCUGAUCGUGGAGUCCUGUUUCAGCCGGUGAUUGGCUGAGAGGAGACGUCGCUCCUGCUCAUAUCUAAAGGAGAAGCUGUCUCCAACCUUGGACCGUGUAUAGGAUAACUAUGCCCUGGCGUCACAAAGUGAUCAGACACUUUGCCAGUGUAUAAGAUGGUUGAUAUACAGCGAUGAAGAUCUCCAUCAUCUCCUUGUAAUAUACCAACCUGACAAAUGCAGAGGAAUAGAAGUUCCCUUCACAUGUGAUAGUGAGGUCAGGGUUCGGCUGACUCUCUUAGUGCUAUUGAGCUGAGGUACAGUGAAGACAAGUCUGAGGAGUCUGUGGAGUGAUCCUGAAGGAGGCCAGAGGCCUAGUCCAGCAACCACUUCAAGUUAACUCCUGCACCGUGGGUGAAAGUCAAAGCCAAUGGUAGGACCUAAACAUAGUGGGGAUUCUGCUGAAGUCCAGUCUAAGUAGUCAGUCAAGUCAGUCUGUUAACAAGCGUGUCUGCAUCAGUCAAUACAAGUCCCAGCAAGCCGAUAAGCUUCCCUACGUUCACCCUGCAUCUCCUUAGUGCCUAUCUGAGCUGUAUGGACUUUAACACCUUGUCUACAUCAGUAAAGACUACCAGUUAACCGUAACCUCGCAUCAGAGGGA